UCCGUUUUGUCAACGGCAGUCUCUCUAGAGUGCUCAGCAUAACCUGGUGGCAACUAAUGGCAGGGGUUGCGCUCGUCGCGGGACUUAACCCAACAUCUCACGACACGAGCUGACGACAGCCAUGCAGCACCUCGACUAGUGUCCCUUGCGGGAAAAACGACUUUCGCCGCCUGUCACUAGCCGUUCGAGCCCAGGUAAGGUUCUUCGCGUUGCGUCGAAUUAAACCACAUACUCCUCCGCUUGUGCGGGCCCCCGUCAAUUCCUUUGAGUUUCAACCUUGCGGUCGUACUUCCCAGGUGGAUUACUUAACGCUUUAGCUUGGUCGCUGACAGUAUAUCGCCAACAACGAGUAAUCAACGUUUAGGGCGUGGACUAC
rnacentral:misc_RNA from 1 species